rnacentral:rRNA from 1 species
GAUGAACGCUGGCGGCGUGCCUAAUACAUGCAAGUCGAGCGAACAGACGAGGAGCUUGCUCCUCUGACGUUAGCGGCGGACGGGUGAGUAACACGUGGAUAACCUACCUAUAAGACUGGGAUAACUUCGGGAAACCGGAGCUAAUACCGGAUAAUAUAUUGAACCGCAUGGUUCAAUAGUGAAAGACGGUUUUGCUGUCACUUAUAGAUGGAUCCGCGCCGCAUUAGCUAGUUGGUAAGGUAACGGCUUACCAAGGCAACGAUGCGUAGCCGACCUGAGAGGGUGAGCGGCCACACUGGAACGGAGACACGGUCCAGACUCCUACGGGAGGCAGCAGUAGGGAAUCUUCCGCAAUGGGCGAAAGCCUGACGGAGCCCCGCCGCGUGAGUGAUGAAGGUCUUCGGAUCGUAAAACUCUGUUAUUAGGGAAGAACAAUUGUGUAAGUAACUAUGCACGUCUUGACGGUACCUAAUCAGAAAGCCACGGCUAACUCCGUG